AAAAAAAAAAACCUUCAUCCUCCUCCAAAACACCAUUAUUUUCAUCCCCAAAAAUGCAGUAAAACCCAGCUGCGAAACAGUUUCAAAACGACCUCCAAGACAGCCCCAAAAUCAUCCCGAAAACCUCCCCAAAACCUCCAUCGAAUCAGCCCCAAAGUGCAGCAAAAUAGCUGUUACAACCCAAAAAUAGCAGCAAAAACAGUCCAAAAUGCCGCUUCAAUAGCACCAAAAAUAAGCCACCUAAACUACCAUAAAACCAUGUGAAACCCCAGCUAAAAUAGCCACAAAAAUGCAGCGAAAAUCAGCUGAAAACAGCCCAGAAAUCAGCUCAAAAACUGCUUAAAAAUCAGUCCAAACACCAUCCUUGAGCUUCGUCAAAGUUUAGGUCGAGUUCGGCGAGGUGAAAGUUUCUGUCCGGCGAGAUUCCGGGCUUGCCGUGGUCAUGCUGUUUUCGGUCUUCAAGGCCCGUAAAAAUCGAGUAUUGAGGUCCGUUUCUUACUUUUAGUCUCAAAAUAUUGUUGAUACUUGUGAUAAAUAAAGUUUUGGUGUUAGCUUCUGUCAUGUCUGCUAGGAUGAAUUAUGUACACAAUCUUGUUCCAUUAAUGAUUUGAUUCAUAUCUUUAUGCUGAGGAAUUCAAUGUUAAUAUUGGUUUUAAGUUUGGGAUUUUAUUUGUUAAUUGAAUAGAUUUAAUUUAGGUUUUGGACUAUCAUAAUCUAAUUUGUUGAUAAUAACGUGGGUCGUGGUUUGGUUGAGUUCAAAUGGGCCGUACGUGGAAUUAGGUAGAAAUGGCGUGGAAUAAUCACUCUUUAACGUGAUAUUUAGUUUUUAUUCAAUAUUUUUAAUGCUGAGCAAAAAUAACAACUAUUCUAUUAAAAUUAAUACGAAAAGACGUUGUUACCCCUUUUUCACGAGUGUUGUGUAAAUAUUAAGGAUAUGGUGUCUUUAAUAUUUACACCACACACAUGAAGUUAAGGACGUCGUGUCCUUAACGUUUACACUGCACAUAUGAAGUUAAGGAUAUGAUGUCCUAAAGUUUAACAAUAGAAGGUGCAAAUACAUGACACUUUGAUCUUAAUAUUUACACAACAUUCAUGAAGUUAAGAACACUAUGUCCUUAAUAUUUACACAACACUCAUAAAGUUAAGGACACUAUGUCCUUAGCAUUUAAACUGCACAUAUGAAGUUAAGGAUAUGAGGUCCUAAAGUUUAACAACAGAAGGUGCAAAUACAAGUUAAGGACAUUAUGUCCUUAAUAUGUACACUGCACGCAUGAAGUUAAGGAUGCCAUGUCCAUAAUAUUUACACUGUAUAUAUGAAGUUAAGGACAUGUGUCCUAAAGUUUAACAACGAAAUGUGCAAUUACAAAAUACUUUAUCCUUAAUAUUUAUACAACAUUCAUGAAGUUAAGGAUACCAUGUCCUUAAUAUUUAUACAGCACCCAUGUCUAGCACAUGGGUAUUUUCGUCCGGGCUGGUAAAAAUUUAAUAAGCACUGGCUAAAGAGUAAAUAUAUUUUAAACAGUGGCUAAAGAGUAAAUAUAUCUCUAAUUAGUGACUAAUUGUGCACUUUUCCCCGGUAUUAGAGAAGCGCAUUUUGGAGAAAAAAUAUUUUGGGUAAUAUCAAAGAAUGAGGCUAAAAGUUUGCUGCUUUAGUUUCCAUUUGUUGGAACCAAGUCAUUAGGCUACAGAAGCAUGAAUUAAGAGGACCGUUAGCUAAGAGCCCGUUUGGACAUAAGAAUUUUUUGAAGUAUUUUUUGAAAAAAAUUCACUUUUUUUUCGAAAUCAUUAUUUGGCCAUAGAAUUUUUAAUUUUCACUUGAAGAUGAAUUUUAAAAAUUUUCGAAAAUUUGAAAAACUCCAAAAAGUUAUUUUUCAAAAUUCCCUCAUAACACUCACAAAAUUUCAAAAACAACCCAAAUUAUAUUUAUGUCCAAAUACAAUUUUAAUUUUCAAAUACUAUUUUCAUUUUUUUUUAUAUUUUACUCUUCUUAUGUCCAAACGCCCACGAAGUUACUUGUUGGGCUAGAGAUGCAAAUUUGAAAGCAAUUGAGCCUAUUGUUAAGUUGAUCUUAAAAGGCUAAUUAAGCUAUGAUUAAUUUUAAGUUAUUUGGGUCAAAAUAAUUUCUAUCACGCGCAAUUUAAUAAGAGCAAAAGGUGACCCAUUUUCUCUAGGGAGAAAGUCCAAAAUUACCCCUCUACUAUGGUAUAUUGUUUAUUUCUGCCGCCCGUUAUACUAUUCGUCCAAUCUAGCCCCUACCGUUAAUCAACCUUUAAAAAUUACCCCUAACCCUAACAGAUCUACACCGUGGCAGCUGGCCACCUCACAAUAUUUUCCAUGUCAGUUGUCAUGUCAGGUGCCAAGUCACUCGACCCCACCAAAUUAAAACUCCACGGACCCUAUUACAUCACCCGUCUCCCAUGCAUUACCCGACCCAAUUUGCUCACCUUUGGGGUUUUUUCUUUUAAAAAAUUUCAAAAGAAUAUCUCCAUACAUAUCCUUAACGAUUUGGUUUCUAAAUUUAUCACGAAGCAACAAUAGAUUGAAAUCAGUUCUUUAAUUGAUUUGCAGCUUCACGACUCAAACAACACCAAAUCUCCAACAAAUACAUCCGAUAAAAAUUUCAGAUUUAAUGAUUCAAUACUCAAAAGAGCUUCAAUGGUGUUUUUAGUUUUUGCUCUUCAAAUUUAAUAGCGAUCUUCAAUUUUAACCUCAACAAAUAUUGCCCCUUCAGAUUUGAAUCUGUCAACUAUCACUUCUUCAAAAUCGCAGAGUUAAUUUUCAUACCCAUCUCACAUGUACUGGUGCUCCCAAAAUCGUCCGAUACACUCGGUUUCAUCACCAACUUUCCUUGAAUCCUAGUCCUUUAGAUGGAUUAUCCACAAUAAUAAUUGGAUGAGAUUUGGAACAACAACCAAAGCAAUGUCUGUUCUGUACAAAUUCAGGUUUAUUUGCAUAUCCAAAGCUUUGAAGCUUGUUCUUUUAUGAUGGGCUUCAAUUUUUUUUCCUAAUUUUUUUAUCACCAAUAACUUCUUCUGCUCAAAUCAGAUUUAUGCCUCACGUCUCCCUUAAAAAACACCGUAACAAAUUUCUAAUUCCAAAGCAAAUGGGUUUUCAAUUUUUUUUAACAAUUAUACCCAAAUAUUGUGAAGAACCGAGAGUAGUUAUGCUUUCUGAUCUCUCUUUCUUCUUUUUAUGGCAUUUUUCGAAAACCAUGAUUGAAAAAAUGUGGAAUCUCACAAACCUAAUUUCUAACCAAGAGAUAUUAUUUUUUCAUUUUAAUUGGAGUGGGAAAUAAAUUAAAGAAAAUUCCUUUUCUUUGAAAAACAAGGAAAAUAAAGAAGUUUUAGAGCAUGGAAUUACUUCUUUUUCGUGAUUGUUGAAUCGAUCAAGUGGUGAAACAUGGAGUUUAAUGGUAAAAGUUGGUAUUUCUUUGUCAAUGGAGAAUGUGAUGGGGUUUUAAUUUGGUGGGGUCGAGUGACUUGGCAGCAGAUACGGAAAAUAUUGAAGGGUCAACUGCCACGGUGUAGAUCCGUUAUGGUUAGGGGCAAUAUUUUAAAAGUUGAUUAACGAUAGGGGCUAGAUUGGACGAAUAGUAUAACGGGUGGCAGAAGUAAACAAUAUAGUAAAUGGGCAAUUUUGGACCUUUUCCCUUUUUUCUAUUGCUCCAUAACUCCUUGCCUCACAAUAAUCUGAAAUUAAUUUUAGGAUUAAUUCAUGAAUGCAAUAGUAUGUUUUAUGCACGCUCUUAAUUAAUAAAAUUAUCGUGAUUAUGUAUAUGUUCGCGUGACAUAAUUACGAGUUCCAAAAUUAAAACCAAGGUAUACGUUCACACAACUUUGGAUGAAACAAUCUUAAUAAUAAUAAAAGUAUUAGUAAUUGUGUACACGCACGCGUGACAUGAUUUUUAAUGCGCCAAAUAAAAUGAGUAAAUGUACGCGUGACUCAUUUGAAGAUAAUUCCGUAACUAUGAAUAAUCAAGCAAUUAAAAGCGGUUUAAGGCAAAAAAUGCAUAAAAUUUUUUACCAACACAAUAAUAUAUAAAAUUUAGUUAAGCCAAAAUUUAGUCAAUAAAAGCGACUAUGGUAGAACCACGAGACUCGGGGAAUGCCUUAAAACUUUUCCCCGGCCAACAGAAUUCUUUACCCGAACUUUGUUUUCGCAGACCAAUAAUAAAAGAAUCAAAUCUUUCCUUGAAUAAGGAUUUAAAUAAAAGGUGACUUGGAACACCCAAAAAUCAAAUUUCAAGUGGCGAUUCUGAACAAUAAAAUAAUUCCUAAUUCAAAAUGUCACUUCAAAUGAAAAAACUUUUUUAACCCACACAAUCCAAAGCAUACAUAUCUUUUGGGCGGUAAAAAAAGGGUGCGACAACUCUGGCGACUCUGUUGGGGAGAACCAGAAUUCGAGCUUGUACAUUGAUUUUAUUUGGCUUUAUUAAAUUUGUAUAUAUUAUGAUUUAUUUGGGCCUAAUGUGCUACUUGUCCGCUUUAUACCACUUUGAUAUUUUUGAACUAUACAUAUAAACUGUUUUCUAACGCACCUCUCUGAGUCUUCUUGAAAUUAAAAUUGGGCAUUUGCUUGACAUAGCCCGCUUUCUUUGAGACAACCGAGGUACUUGCCACCCGGUGAAGAAUUUUAGUCACACAUGUUUUAGGCGGGGAGCACCACCAAACUAAGACGAAAAGCAACACUACCAGUAUGCUGACUCUCCUCGGCUCGAGUUGUCCGCUCGAGUAAGCCAGUCUAGAUACCUUCUCCACUAGGAUUUAAACCUAGGAGAACAAACCUUAUGCCGGAUAUCCCUAGUAGGUUCGCUUUAUUUGCAUCACGUGCAUUUGACUUAGCGAAGCUAGGCACAGGGGUCAGGUCCGUAUAAGACAUGUAUCCUCUUUGAGACCAUCAUGCUCACUUAUGUGCUACUUGCUACAUCAUUUGGAAGGCUUGCUUACAUUGUUGACCGUCUUUAGAAAAUUAGUUGAGCGGAAUUAAAAAAAAAAUUAUUCUUCUAGUUUAGUACAAAUAAUUCUUUUUUGCUAAGAUUUUGUAGUAGUCUGGCGUGAGGUGUAAAGAUUAAUUUUCAUAAAAAUAAAAAAAAAAAUAGUCGGUUUCACCGAACUACGCGGGUCUGAUUCUCACCGGAUGUGAGAUACGUAGGUAACCUUUAUCUGGUCCGGCCCCCAAUUUUUAAAAAUUCAAAAAUAUAUUUUCCUUUAAAUCUAUCCUUGAGACAUCGAAUCGAGAAUUUGUUUUAAAAAAAUAAAAUAAAAAUGAGUUGAAUUCGAAAAUAUUUUUUGUUCUGCUUCAGAAGUUUUUCUUUCAGAAAUUAAAAAGAAAAUUCAGAAUCCAAAAAUAUUUUCGAAAAUUCAAAGGAAAAAUUUCAAAAAUAUUUCUUUUUAGAAGUCUUUCUUUUAAAAAUUCAAAAAAAAAAUUCUUUCUUCUUUAGAAGUAUUUCUUUCAACAANNNNNNNNNNNNNNNNNNNNNNNNNNNNNNNNNNNNNNNNNNNNNNNNNNNNNNNNNNNNNNNNNNNNNNNNNNNNNNNNNNNNNNNNNNNNNNNNNNNNNNNNNNNNNNNNNNNNNNNNNNNNNNNNNNNNNNNNNNNNNNNNNNNNNNNNNNNNNNNNNNNNNNNNNNNNNNNNNNNNNNNNNNNNNNNCCCAAAAAAAAGAAAUCCCAAAAAAUCUAAUUUUUUCCCCUUUGUUAGGAGCUAUCAUGGUCUGAAUUGUAUAAGAGUAAAAAUUAGUUUAUUUACUUUAUUUCUGAUCUUACCUGAACUACGCAACAUCUGAUUUAUGUUCCCACAUCAGGUUCAAUCGAAUGAUUUUGAAAAAAGUGAAAAAAAGAAAAAAAGAGAAAAAGAAAAAAAAAAGAAGAAAGAGAAGAAGAGUGUGUUCAUUUUAACAUGCUUGUUAUUUUGGAAUAAAAGCUAGUUAAAGGUGGUCGGUUUGUUGGUUUGCAAUGGUGAAUCACGAAAAUAAUCCUGGAUCACUCUAUCAUCUUCUCAACCAAGGGAAUAAGCACCACUAUUGUUGAUUCGACUAAGGUCACGAAAAGACAAGUACAUAGUUUGGUGGUGAAAAGAAGAUGCAUAUGUUGGUUGACUUUUACCAAGUUUGAGCAAUAGGACAUGCUUUGUGUGAAACGAUCUGUGAUGAUAGGGACAUGGGAGUUCUUCCAACUAUUUUGGCAAAUUGGUUGCUAUGAAAUUUCUCAUGCCGCCAGUCCUGAAAUCCAAUAACCAAUAUUGGGGAACAGUUUUAUCAAAAAGUCAAAAUUUGAAUGUUGGUUCCAAAGCAAUCAUAUUUAAUUCCGUAGUAAUACUAAUGUGCAAAUGCGUAGCUAAUAUGUCAAGUUUGGUAAUUGGAAAGUCACUCCCCUCCUUGCCGGACAGGAGUCUUGGUAACUUAUUUUGUCAUAAUUUCUAUCUUCUAGAUUAUUUUGAGGUUGUGAUCCAGAUGUUGUUUAUUUGUCCUGUCAUCAAACCUCUCUAUCCUUUAAUCAAUAAAAUAUAACUUUUCAUUUUGUGUCAUUUUAAUCCAUUAUGUUUAAUUCUUCUUGCAUGUCUAGUUCUUUUCACGCCAAUUUUAGUGACAUGACAUGCAUGUAGAGUUUUCAGCUACAUUUUAGAAAGCCUGUCCAAUCUUAAAUUAAAUCCAGGAAACACUUUGAAGAUAAGAAAAAGGUUGAAAGGCUUUGAUGAUAAGCCCGUGUCAAGUUCACAAGGAACCAAAAUAGUUAUAUCCGUAGAGGUUAAAGAUCUUCAUCUCAAUCUAUCAUGGAAAUCCGGCUUAAGCAUAUUUGAAUGGCUUGAAGUUUUGUUGGACUAAUCAAUGAAAAAGGUUUUUUGCCACGACCUGCCAUAAUCUAAUCAUAUCAGGGAAGAUGACCCAAAUCUCCAGAGAACGUGCAUUCCAGGGAAUUUUAAAUAGAUUAGCUGGUACUGAAGUGCAUCAUUUCCCAUCAAGACAAAGACCAAGAAAAGGUGGCUCCAAAUUGUCAAAGGUUAUUUGUUGCAAACAAGAUAUUGACGAUGGAGCUAUACAACUGACAAAACCAAGAAGACAGUCAUGCCCAUCAAUGUCGAACCUGAGAAGAGAUAGAAUGUUUGGCAUUCUUGAGGCUGACAUGCCCUUUUCUGCUACCCAAACACUUUAAAUCCUUCAUCACCCCUUUUGAGCAUGUUUUAUUUUUUUUUGACCCCCCUCUUUUGAAGUAUAGAAUCCAAAAAAAAAUCGAAUAUCCGUGCCAUCAGAAAAUAGGAGUUAGAACAAUUUGAUUAUAUAAAAAAAAAAGGAAAAGAAUAAAGAAAAAUAGAAAGAUGAAAAGAAAAACAACAAAGAAAUAUUUCGUGUUAGUUUGAACUACGUUUGACUUGAUUCCUUUAAAGGAUACGUAGGCCUCUACACUAGUGUUCAGUCUAAGCAAAUCAAAAAUAAAAAUUUUCAAGUAUCUGAAACUGUGGCAGAAGUUUUUUAUGUUUUUAUGAAAAGUCGAUUCCAAGAGUUAUAAAUAUACAACCUUAUCAUGUUGAGUCCAUUUUGAGCCUUAUUGCGACGCUUUCUUUCUAACCAUAUCCAAAAGCCUUCCAAAUAAAGACCUCCCAAUUAGUCUUUAAGAAUGCCAAGGGAAGCAUACAAUAAGCAAUAGUUGUCACACGAGAUAGAACAAUGUCAAGUUGCUCGCACAAAAAAAAAAAAGAAAAAAAAGAUGAAGAGUAAAACACGAUAAUGAAUGAAAAUGAGAGUCUUAUUGGUGAAAACUCUCAUGGGCACUGUAAGGCAAUGGUAAGUAGAGAUAAAUAAAUGAGAGAGGCCGGUUGAUGAAAACCUUUCGGGGCCCUGUUGGUUGAGGGUAAGUUGUGAUUUGAUGCAAAUGAUUGGCACAAAGAGGCCAACUUCAAAGACGAAAGGGAACAACAAGUAUAAAUGGUAGAUUGGCUAGAUAGAUUGGGCCGCUCAGUCCAAAAUGCAUGUCAUGAUCAUUAAAGUUUGGCUGCCAUAUUCAAAGGAGCCCAUUCUUUCUUUCUCUCCCCGUAAAGUGGCAUUUUCAGUUAAAUACUAUUCCUUCUCAGUUUUACAUCGCGUCAUUUUGUCAAUUUGCAUUAUUAUUUUGAGUCAGUCUUUGUUAAGACAAAGGAGAAAUGAUUUCAAAAUCUGUUACCAACUUUCUAACUAUACAAAGCAAGUUCUAUCCUAGCACAUCAAAGAGCACAUACCCAGGAAGCAACAUGCACAAUAACUUAUUGAGGUUAAACAAGAUUUGAGGGUUCAUACAGACGGAAGUUCCAAAGAGAACUUUGCUGGUCUAUUUGCUUAGAAUCCAACAAAGAAAGGGCCACAAAAUUGGUCACCGUUUUCCGGAAGGGCAAAAUAAAGGAUGUGGGGCAUACACGACAUUGACAAAUGCACAAAUCCAAUUGUGAUUUCCUCUGAUAAGCCGAACAAAGUGUUUCGAAGAAAUCUAAAAGGUCACUAAGCAAGACUUGCUUCAUAGGAAAAGUUGAUAGCACCACAGACACAAACUGAUAUCGGGUGCAAGAUAAUCAAGUUUGAUUUUUAAAGGAAAAAACCGCCAAAGUGAGGACUAGCUUGAUAAACAAGAUUCAGCAACACCUUAGACAUUCGGGUAUGAAACAGUCGGGGGCAAUGAUGGAAAGCCAAAAUUUCUAGAAAGCAAUACAGAGUAUCCGAGCAACUCGGUAUCGUGCUGAAAGAAUCAGUUCUUCUUCAGCAAGGUGGCCGCAAAUUCAAACUACUCAGGGCAUCAAAGCCACAAACCGACCAUCACUAUUAAACUCACAAAUCUUUUUUUAUUUGAAGCUGGAAAUAAAGUAGCUUAGAAAUGAAGUUCUCAAAGUAUGAAUGUCACCAAAGGUAAAUUCUUCAAAGUCUCUGCUUUUUAUUUCUAGGCAUGCCCAUAAUUACAUCAUCAGCUAUUUCAUGUUUUAGCAUAAGGUACACCGGUCCUUAGUUGAGAUUCUAUUUUGAUAUAGGGAACACCACUCUCUAGUCGUAUGUUCAGUAUAGGGUGCACCAAUCUCUAGUUGUAUUUUCCAACAUAAGGUACACUAAUCUUUAGUGAGGUUCCAUUUUCAUACAAGGUAUCAUAUCCCCUGGUUACUUUCUCUCUAAGUGAUACAAGGCGCCAUUCCUUGAUUACAUCCUCUCAGCAAUACAGGGUGCCAACUCUUGGUCAUAUUCUAUCUCAGUAAUACAGGGUGCCAAUCCCUAGUUACAUUCUUUCUCACUGAUACAUGGCGCCAACUCUUGAUUAUAUCCCCUCUUAGUGAUAUAGGGCACCAACCCCUAGUUAUAUUCUUUCUCAAUGAUACAGGGUGUCACCCCCUGGUUACAUUCCCUCCAAGUCUUUCAACCUCAUUCGUAGGAGACACACUUCCUAGUUUGAGUUAUUCCAGUAGGAAGCACUUCCUAAUCUAAACCACCAAUCCUAAGAGACGCACUUCCUAGUCCAAGUCUUUCAACCUCACUCGUAGGAGACGCUCUUCCUAGUUUUAGUCAUUCCAAUAGGAGACACACUUCCUAAUCUAAACCACCAUUACUAGGAGAUGCACUUCCUAGUCCAAGUCUUUCAACCUCAUUUGUAGGAGACACACUUCCUAGUUUGAGUCAUUCCAAUAUGAGACACACUUCCUAGUUUGAGUCAUUCCAAUAGGAGACGCACUUGCUAAUCCGAACCUUUAUUCCUAGGAGACACACUUCCUAGUCCGAGUCCUUCAACCUCACUCAUAGGAGACACACUUCCUAGCUUGAGUCAACCGUGUUCAUUUUAAUAGGAGACACACUUCCUAAUAUGAGUCAUUAAUCCUAGGAGACGCAAUUGCUAGUUCAAGUCCUUUAAUCUCACUGUCAUUCCAAUGCUACCCAUGGGAGAUGCACCUCAUAAGUCUAAGUUUUAUCAAUUUUACACCUAAGAUAAGAACAUCUUUUUCGGAGCCUUUAGUUUUAUUUUUGCAUCUUUCAAAUAAAAUAAGCUGAUCUGCAGCUUUACCCAAUAACUCACAAAAACUUUUGUUCGUUUUGUUCGUCUAUGAUGGUUUUUCAGGACCCCACCAUAAAGCACAAAUUGUGACGAUUAAAGCUUGCAGUUUUAGUUCUAGUCAUACAAAAAAAAGGUCUUUUGAUCACAAGAUAAUCGGAGUCAUCUUUGAUAAUGUGUCGGCAACCCGGCUUUCCAAGAAUCAAG
rnacentral:lncRNA from 1 species